AAAGAUGAGAAAAAAGGGUAAGAAAAAGAGAAAAAAAAUAAGAGUAAAAAGAUAAAAGGGAAAAGAAAGGAAAAGAAAAAAAAUUGAAGUGAAAAAAGUAAGUGAAUAAUGGAAAGAGAAAGUUUUUAUGUAAGUUAGUACUUAAAAGUUCAGAGAGAAAGAAAAAAAAAUGAAAAUCGAAAAAAUGAGACUAAGAAAGAGCAGAGCGAGAGGGGUGGCGCUGGACUCACUCCAAAGACAUUGAAUAGAGUAGACCGUGCGCUGUGAAAUUGAGCGGUAGCCACUUCUCUUCCAUUCGCAUGCCGCACUGACCGAUGAGUGCGGGAACACUGAAACGGCACCGGUGAGGUAGUGAGCAUCAGCUGUCCCCACCCCAGCUCGAGGUAAACGAACAAUGCGCUUAUACGAGGUUGGUACGGUUCGGCUCAAUACCACCUACCCAUACCUUUCAGCGCAAAAAGAGGUUAGGAAUCCGUGGUAAAGACCAAAAUACAUGGCAUCUUAUGGGAACUGUCGGGUUCUCCGUUGUUUAUUUAGUAAUAAGUUCGUGAAAAUUAGGAAAACACACUUAAAGGAGUUGCAGGAAUUUAAGUGAAGUUAUUCGAAUGAUAUUUUAUUUAUCAUUUAUUUUUUCUCUAUUGAGUGCGCGAAGUUUUUUCCGAAUUAUAGUCACCCAUUAUGUGUUCACCCAAUGGUUGAUCCCUCGUUCUUGUUCUUUUUUAAUUAAUAUUUUGUUCGCCUGACCCCAACUGAGUAAUAUUUAUCAUCGUAAGCAUUUAUACACUGAAUGUCAUCUUGCCUUUGUAGUAGCCAGUAUAUUGGUAGAUUAAUUGCUAGUUUCCAUCGAAAUGUGCUGUAAGUUCUUACUGAGCUCCCGUUCUGUCCUAAUUUUUGCUCAGCAACCCAUGAUGGCACUGCUGUGGAAGCAAGAGAUGAGUGAAUAGUAUUUUAUAACAUAAAGAGGAGAGUUUGAUCGAUCGUGACCUUCCAGAUAUCCUUAUCUUUUCAUCGUGUCUUAGGAUGCAGCGAUCAUGUGCAUUUUGAAGCACCCAUCAUUUUGCGGCUCUUUUCAUAUCAUUGAAGCAUGUUUACUGCCACAUGCCGAAGGACAUCUGCAUGUUUCUCUUUAAUUCAGAUUGUGUGCCAUUAAUCUCGUAUUAAUGUGAGCUGGAAAGCAAUCUGUCUCUAGAAAAGCCUGUUGUAAGUCUCGUUAAACUCUCCUAGGAUGGAUGAUGACAUUUUUUUGACACCUUCAGGUAAAUUAAUAGAUUCAAAUUUUAUUCUUAAUCUCCCUUCACAGACAUUUUGUCAAUGAUUAAAGUGAAGAACUCUUACAUCUAUUCUGUCAAUACAGGUAAUGUAGAAGGUGGUGCCGAGGCAGUGCAACCACAUAUAGAUUCUGUUGCGAGGUCACAGUGUAGGAUGACCUAUCAGCUAAUAAUGAGAAUGACACUUUGGUCAGGCGCAUGCACUUUUUCACGCCAACAAAACUCAAUUAUCUCGUAGUGAGUGACACGAAAAGUGGCAGCUGAGAUACUCUAGCUACAGUUUAAGGGUUGAUUGGCCUGGUUGACAAACCCAGAUCCUUUGAACAAGGCCAAGAUAUCUGCGCUUCAUCCUGUAGACAACUUAUUGAAUCCAGACCUGCGUUUCCUUGCUGUGAUACAGAAACGUACAUUCCUCCAUUUGCUACAACCUUCUAAAGUUUUACAUAAACUUUAUAUUAUUUGUUCCUUUUCUGCAAACUCAGGGGGUUAGUUGAUCCCUUAAGGUUCAUCUCUGCCUGGCCAAAUUAAUUCCUACUUCUAGAUUUUUUCUGGAUGAAUCUAAUACUUGUAAGAGAUUAAUUUCAAAGUAUACUUACCCACUUUUUAAAUAUGUUUAACCACUUAGUCAUUCAGCCUUGACAGUUACAUAUUAGGUAACUAGUCCAGCCUCACAUUCAAUGAAAAGUUCAAUUUGUCUCUUUGACCUUCAGCAGGCAAGCUUUUAAUGCUUGUCAUGUACCACUAUUUCUCAUGCAAAGAAGAGCAGUGAUCGGCACUAUUCUGAGAGGACCACCUCAGCUGGCACCAAUGACCUGACUUAGAAACAGAGCUGGCAUUGGGAUGACACGAGUACAUCUGCAAAAAAUGAGAAACAAGAGGGAAAAUUAAUUAGGGUAAGUGUACUGCGGUAAGAAGAAGAUACUAUUUUGUUCACUUCACACAUGAAUGCUGAGUUUCAGCAUUAUUAAUUUCUCGGUGCUGACAAAGAUAGGUGUACAUUUGUACUGUUUGGUGAUUUUCUUCAAUUUUUUAUCCGUCAAUCGAUACUUCUCACAAUGAAAAGACGUGCUCCUUAUUCAUAAGUUUGACUUAAAAACUACUCCUGUUUUACAGUCGAAUUCAUAAAAAUUAUCAAAUUGACACUGGUACAUCUACAACAUGUAAAAUAAUUUAAAAUAAUGUACAAAUUUAAAAAAUGAAAUUGGUAAAUCAGAGAGGGAUUCUGCAUUACAAUUACAGAUUUAGGUUUAAUCAUUAUCAUUUUUCAAUGAAUGUCGGGCAUUUUAGAAUUGAAAGGUGGAUGCCUCAAUUAAAAUUUCAAGAAUUGUUCAGACAACUCUACUCACCUGAAUAUGGCAAAGAUAUUCUUGAUUGGGAAAAUUGUCUUAUGAUUUAGGCUGCCACCAAUGACCUGACUUAGAAACAAGGCUGGCAUUGUGAUGACACGAAUACAUUUGCAAAAAAUGAGAAACAAGAGGGAAAAUUAAUUAGGGUAAGUGUACUGCGAUAAGAAGAAGAUACUAUUUUUUCACUUCACACAUGAAUGCUGAGUUUCAGCAUUAUAAUUUUCUCAGUGCUGACAAUGAUUGGUGUGCCUUUGUACUGUUUGGCGAUUUUCUUCAAUUUUUUAUUCGUCAGUCGAUACUUCUCACUUUUAAAAGACUUAAUCUAGAUUCCAAAGUAUGAUUAAAAUGAUGACUAGAAUGAGACUACUGAAUAUGACAGGAUGAAAACUAGGUUGGUGUCACAAUCGCUGUAUCGAAAACUAUUGACAAGUAAGGAACUGUCUGAAGAAAAAUCAGCUUCUCUCAGAGAGAAACUUUUUGGAAGCUCAGGGCAAGACUUUGAACUUACUGGUGUCUUCAAGACUUUUGAGCUUGCUCCAUUUUUCACAUUUCAAGCUUGAGCCCAGGAUCUGCUGCAAUAUACUUGGUACUGUGAUUUCAUUAUUUUGAAUGAUUUUAACACUAAAAUCUUGACUUAUCUUAAACGCAACUUUGAUUUUGGGUAGUGAGUGGAAAUUUACAUCAUCCAAGAGGUAGAAUAGAACAUGGUUUUCCGCUUGAAAAGUGAGAAAAUUAGUGAACUCUUUAACCUUUGCAGUUCUUAAUUCCUCAAAACUUAGAAUGCGAUCUGCUUGGAUCGCUUCUCUUCUUGCUGCUAGAGCAACUCUCUUAUCAGCUAAAUCUGCGGCUACGGCUUGGGCAUGAGCCUCAGGUGUUCUCUCGCAUUGGGGUAGGUCAGUAGAGUGUUCAGGGGGCCAAUCCGGAAAUAAAGAAGGGAAGGCUUCAUCGGUUAGCUUGGGGACUCUGCGAGGCAAUUCAAUAAAGCCAUUUUCUGCGGUAUUUAUAAAAUCAGAGCAGAUAAUGUGCUGUGGAGCAAAAUGCUUAAUGCAAACGACAUGGUAUUUGGUAACUUUACCGCGUAGAUCUUCUCUCCAGAUGUAGUGAAGCCACUUGUUUCUCAGCUGCUCGUUUUUGGGGAAUUGGAAGGUGGACACAGGAGGAGAGCCGGGUCCAUUAGAGCGGCAGUCAGGAACACAACAGUAUCUCACCAUUUAGCAUGCACACUUACUUAUUCUUAACAUAACCAGAAUAAAAAAUAUAUAUUACUUGUUCAUUCCGACAGCUGCGAGACCUGGAAAAGAGAUUUAAAGCAUCCAAAA